rnacentral:rRNA from 1 species
UCCGUAGGUGAACCUGCGGAAGGAUCAUUAACGAAUAACUAUGGCGUUGGUUGUAGCUGGCUCCUCGGAGCAAUGUGCACGCCCGCCAUUUUUAUCUUUCCACCUGUGCACCGACUGUAGGUCUGGAUACCUCUCGCCUCCGGGCGGAUGCGAGGGUUGCUCGUAAGGGCUUCCCUUGAACUUCCAGGCUCUACGUCUUUUUACACACCCCAAUAGUAUGAUGCAGAAUGUAGUCAAUGGGCUUCUCAGCCUAUAAAACACUAUACAACUUUCAGCAACGGAUCUCUUGGCUCUCGCAUCGAUGAAGAACGCAGCGAAAUGCGAUAAGUAAUGUGAAUUGCAGAAUUCAGUGAAUCAUCGAAUCUUUGAACGCACCUUGCGCUCCUUGGUAUUCCGAGGAGCAUGCCUGUUUGAGUGUCAUUAAAUUCUCAACCUCACCAGUUUUCUGAACUGACUGAGGCUUGGAUGUGGGGGUUUGUGCAGGCUGCCUCACCGGCGGUCUGCUCCCCUGAAAUGCAUUAGCGAGGUUCAUGCUGGACCUCCGUCUAUUGGUGUGAUAAUUAUCUACGCCGUGGACGAGGAUACAGACUCGCUUCUAACCGUCCGCGAGGACAAUACCUUGACAAUUUGACCUCAAAUCAGGUAGGACUACCCGCUGAACUUAAGCAUAUCAAUAAGCGGAGGA